rnacentral:misc_RNA from 1 species
GUAGGUGAACCUGCGGAAGGAUCAUUAUUGAAUUUUAAUGAGGAGUUUGGUUGUUGCUGGUCCAUUAAUUUUGGGCAAUGUGCACACCUUUCUCUUUCAUCCCAUACACACCUGUGAACCUGUGAGACAGAUGGGGGAAAUUUUACUCUUUGUUCAGAUAAAAAAUGAAUGAGGGUAAUUGGGAACCGUCUGUCUACUUAAUCUAAUAUAAACUCAAUUUAUUUUAAAAUGAAUGUAAUGGAUGUAACAC